rnacentral:rRNA from 1 species
GAGUUUGAUCAUGGCUCAGAUUGAACGCUGGUGGCAGGCUUAACACAUGCAAGUCGAGCGGGCGAGGUUGCUUCGGUAACUGAGCUAGCGGCGGACGGGUGAGUAAUGCUUAGGAAUCUGCCUAUUAGUGGGGGACAACAUUCCGAAAGGAAUGCUAAUACCGCAUACGCCCUACGGGGGAAAGCAGGGGAUCUUCGGACCUUGCGCUAAUAGAUGAGCCUAAGUCAGAUUAGCUAGUUGGUGGGGUAAAGGCCUACCAAGGCGACGAUCUGUAGCGGGUCUGAGAGGAUGAUCCGCCACACUGGGACUGAGACACGGCCCAGACUCCUACGGGAGGCAGCAGUGGGGAAUAUUGGACAAUGGGCGCAAGCCUGAUCCAGCCAUGCCGCGUGUGUGAAGAAGGCCUUUUGGUUGUAAAGCACUUUAAGCGAGGAGGAGGCUACUUGGAUUAAUACUCUAGGAUAGUGGACGUUACUCGCAGAAUAAGCACCGGCUAACUCUGUGCCAGCAGCCGCGGUAAUACAGAGG